AGCUUUGUGCAAGGAAAUUAUUGUUACCAGAGAGGUUUAUUCGAGGUGCAAUUACUGCUAGUUGAACACUUUAACCAAAGCUUUGUUGACUUUGUUACGUAGAUGACUGUACCUUUAUUAACAACAAUAUUGGU